CUCUUUCCCUCCGCGCUGCCUCUCCGAGGUCCUCCCGCCGAGCCCCGGCGCGGGGCAUGAGGAGCCCCCGGGUGCCGCCCAGAGACCAGCAGGCUGCGCGCACACCUAGCCAGCGGCAGACGGGGACAUGAGCAGCGCGCACGGGGUCCCGCGCCCGGCGGCCAGCCCUAUCCGGCGGCGGCCAGCGGGUCAACGCUGCCCGGGAGAAUGAGGCAGGAGCCGGCGGCAGCCUCCUUUUUUUCCUUCUCCUCGCCUUCCUGCGGCUCCGGCGCUCCGGGUCCGGGCCGGGCUGCGGCUCUGCUGCGUGCCCCGCGCGCCCCUCAACCGCCUCCGGAUGCGCUUCUCGAUCUCAGCCCGCUGUCGCCUUCUCUCUGACCCUGGUCCCUUCCACUGCAGGCUGUUGCUCCGGUGUCUCUGGGCUGCUCCACCACGUGGUGCCUGCCCAUCAUGGCAUCCACCACCAGGUGGCCUUUUUCUUGGUUAGCCUGGCAAGGAAGAUAAAGACAUUUGCAACCAAGAUGGUAAUCACUAGUGAAAAUGAUGAAGACAGAGGAGGUCAAGAAAAAGAAAGUAAAGAGGAGAGUGUCUUGGCAAUGCUGGGGAUUAUCGGGACCAUUCUGAACCUGAUUGUGAUCAUAUUUGUCUACAUAUACACCACCCUGUGAAUGGCCCAGAGCGUCCUCAGAGGCCUCAGAAUGGCCAAAGACGGAAGUCCUGCGUGUCGGCGCAUCACUGACCAGACCCUGCGAGAACA
rnacentral:lncRNA from 10 species